rnacentral:rRNA from 1 species
GAUGAACGCUGGCGGCGUGCCUAAUACAUGCAAGUCGAGCGAACAGACGAGGAGCUUGCUCCUCUGACGUUAGCGGCGGACGGGUGAGUAACACGUGGAUAACCUACCUAUAAGACUGGGAUAACUUCGGGAAACCGGAGCUAAUACCGGAUAAUAUAUUGAACCGCAUGGUUCAAUAGUGAAAGACGGUUUUGCUGUCACUUAUAGAUGGAUCCGCGCCGCAUUAGCUAGUUGGUAAGGUAACGGCUUACCAAGGCAACGAUGCGUAGCCGACCUGAGAGGGUGAUCGGCCACCCUGGAACUGAGACACGGUCCAGACUCCUACGGGAGGCAGCAGUAGGGAAUCUUCCGCAAUGGGCGAAAGCCUGACGGAGCAACGCCGCGUGAGUGAUGAAGGUGUUCGGAUCGUAAAACUCUGUUAUUAGGGAAGAACAAAUGUGUAAGUAACUAUGCACGUCUUGACGGUACCUAAUCAGAAAGCCACGGCUAACUACGUG